rnacentral:lncRNA from 1 species
AUGCAAUCUAGCCAAUUAAAUCAUGAGUCUGAAACUUCGAGGCCUGGAGUAAGUUCUUUACCGAGGGACUGGUUCACUGUUGUGUUGAGAACAGAUUCUGGAUGCCAUGGUGGAAGCAGGAAGACCAAUUUCAAAGAUAUUGGAAUAAUUCAGCCAUCCUCAAAGAGUUUAAUGAAUGUGGUACCACAAGCAAAAUGUACGUCCACAUUGAAAGAAACCCCAGGCUCCACUGGCAGCAAAGCGGCAGAGAAGGAGAGAAGAGAAGAAGCACGUGAACAUGGAGAGGAGAGGCAGCAGCUGGACUUUGCAGACUACAGUCGGAAAGGAGUUCAGCCAGAAAUAGUUGGAGAGAAAUUUGGCUGGACAGCAGAACUCCAGGGAAAGAGAAAGGUCACCUUCCUGCUCCAACCCCUUCCAAGUCUCCCUUCCCACUGA